GAUGAACGCUGGCGGCGUGCCUAAUACAUGCAAGUCGAGCGAACAGACGAGGAGCUUGCUCCUCUGACGUUAGCGGCGGACGGGUGAGUAACACGUGGAUAACCUACCUAUAAGACUGGGAUAACUUCGGGAAACCGGAGCUAAUACCGGAUAAUAUAUUGAACCGCAUGGUUCAAUAGUGAAAGACGGUUUUGCUGUCACUUAUAGAUGGAUCCGCGCCGCAUUAGCUAGUUGGUAAGGUAACGGCUUACCAAGGCGACGAUGUGUAGCCGACCUGAGAGGGUGAUCGGCCACACUGGAACUGAGACACGGUCCAGACUCCUACGGGAGGCAGCAGUAGGGAAUCUUCCGCAAUGGGCGAAAGCUUGACGGAGCAACGCCGCGUGAGUGAUGAAGGUCUUCGGAUCGUAAAACUCUGUUAUUAGGGAAGAACAAAUGUGUAAGUAACUAUGCACGUCUUGACGGUACCUAAUCAGAAAGCCACGGCUAACUACGU
rnacentral:rRNA from 1 species